rnacentral:lncRNA from 1 species
AUAAAUCAAAAAGAAAAAGCUAUCAUUUUUCUCUUCUCCUUCACCGAAAUAUGCAGCAAAGAAAUGGCUUUGAAGCUGGAAAAUUUUAGCAACAUAUUUCCCUUGCUUGUAAGUGAUUUUAAUGUCUUUGCUUGAUGAUUUUUACAUUUUUAGAACCUCUAAAGCAUGAGCUUUCAUAUGAGGGGUCUAUUUUGCAAAAUGAUGAAGAGUCUAAGGUUUUUCCAUGAGAGUAAACGUGUUGUUUGCUGUGUUUUUAUGGAAGAUUAUGUGUCCUAGUUGUCUAAUAAACAACUUUUGUGAAAGAAAUUGCAUGAAAACACCUUAAAAAGUGCUAGAUUGCUAAGUUGUAAAAUGAGUUGUAAAUGUAUGAAAUAGUUGAAAUUAUGAGUUGCUAUAGUUAUGAAAAUGGUUCAUCUAGACUCAAGGAGUAAAGAAAUGUGAUAAAAAUUAUUUUACGAGCCUAGGGGUAAUUUGGUAAUUUUGGCAAAAUAUAGGGGAAAAUUGUAAAAAUUGCCCAAGUGUGUCAAUUGACAAUUUGAUCAGUAUCUUGUUUUAAUAAGUUGAAUGUGAUAUUUUAGAUGAUGAAAAUCGAGAUUUGGACCUAGAACGGAAAGAAAUCGAUUAAGGGAUAAUUACGUCUUUUUUUUCACCUUUGUGGUAUCGAGGUAAGUUCAUGUGUAAAUAAUGUAGCAUAAUUGUUAUUUUUAAGUUAUUGAUGUUAAAUAUAUGAUAUGCUGAUUUUUAUCAUGAAAUAUAUGCUUUGUGGUUAUUUUCGAAUAAAAUGCAAGUUAUGUGUAUUAUUUGUUAAAUAUAAAGUGCUACCGAGUAUUGGUUUCGGUAUUUUACGGAAGAUGGCAAGGAGAUGUGUUCGAGGAAAAUCCCGUUUGAACCUUAGGAAUAGAUUAGGAUACAAGUGACAUGUCACUAGGAUGGUUGAGCAUCCGAACUCGUUGAGUUGAGUCCGAGUUCACUUAUGGAUGCAAAUGUUCGAACUCGUUGAGUUGAGUCCGAGUUCGUGAGAUGUAACUAGGCAUCCGAGCUCGUUGAGUUGAGUCCGAGUUCACUUAUGGGCAGGUUACAUGGUAGCUUGGCUACAUAUGUGGCACUUAUGUGCAAACUUUCCAUGUAUCCGAAUUAUAUUCCGAUGUGUUCAACGGGUAAAAUUCUACUCAAAUGGAGGAAUACUCGAGAUGAAAGGGACGUAUUGGUAAAUGUUGUGAAAUGGAUCCUUAGAACAGGUAUGUACUUAACCCUCGGGUUGAAAACUCGACAUAACAAUAAUAUGGUAAGAUGAUCAAUGAAAAUGUGAUAUGAAUGUCUCGGUGAUGAUUAUACAAACGAUGUUGUAUUAAUUUUGUGAACAAUGAUCAUGAAUGAGUAAUUUAGCCUUGACAGAUUUGAGUUACUGCAGUAGUGUAACUUUAAAAAUACACUAAAAAUAGUGGAAAAUGAGUUAGAGGCAGAAUAAAGUAUGGGAUUAAAGCUUAAUGAGUCUAUUUUCACAUGAAAGAAACAGGGGAUGAAAAAGAUUCCAUAUUGUGUGAUAUUUGAAUUCUUGUGAAACAGGGUCUGAAUGAAUUCGAGAUCCCCUGUUCUGACUUUAGAAAUUCACCAAAAAUUGUACAAAAAUUAUUAAGAGUCAUACCUUACAUGCAUGGAUUCCUUAUUUAGUCUAUUUUUAGGGGAAAUAAACGCCAUGGUCGUUGGAAUUUUGUAUAGGAAGAAAUUCUGUUUGUAGUGCACAGGGGUCAGAGUGGUCAUACCCUGAAACAGGAGAGACUUUAACUAAUAAACUGUACUAAUUGGCCCAACCAAAAAUUCUAGGAAAAAAUUAUUAAGUAGACAUAUGAGUCUAGUUUCAAUAGAAAUAGACAAGAACAUUAUUCGAGUCUUGUACUAUGAGAUAAUUGAACUUUAGUACAGAAGGGUCGGAACUGUCAGACAGUGAAUCAGGGGUAACUUCGAGGAAUAAACUGUACUAUUUGGCUUAACCAAAAAUUAUGAAAAUUUUAUGGAAGAAAGGAAAAUAAGUCUAGUUUCAAGGAAAAUUAACAGAACUUAAUUCGGAGUUUCGUAGCUCUAGAUAUAAAUAAUUUAGUGACCAUUGCUCAGAAAGACAGCUUGUAGUGAACUUGAGAAUAUGUUGUAAACAUUGAUAAAACAAGUUAAUGAGUGCUUAUUGUUUUCAUAUGAACUUACUAAGCGAAAGCUUACCCCCCUCUUCUUUCCCAUGUUUUCUAGAGUUUCCAGGUUAGCUCGGGUUGGAGGCCGUCAGAGAUAUUAUCACACUGUCAAGCUAACGCUAUUGGUGUAGUGAUUUCAAGUACUUUGAGCCUAUGGCAUGUAUAGGAGUUUAAAUAUUAGAGUAUGUGAUAUGGCUUUAACCAUAUGUGUUGGCAUAUUUUGAUUAUGGGGUUGUAAAUCUAUUUUAAUUAUGCAUGCAUGUGCUAUGGUAUUAUGUGAUGAGUUUAUAAUGAUUAUAGUAUGAAUGUGGUAAAGAUGUGAGUAAAAUCUAUGAUAUCUAUUGCAUGUGAAAUUGCCAUAAUCAUGACAUGUUAGGAAUGUUUAAGUACCUAAUUUUGCCAUGUUGUAUGUU